GUGGGAGGUAGUGGGUGGGAUUUGGGAGAAGGGGUGUGGUAGGUAGUGGGUGGGAUUUGGGAGAAGGGGUGUGGUAGGUAGUGGGUGGGAUUUGGGAGAAGGGGUGUGGUAGGUAGUGGUGGGAUUUGGGAGAAGGGGUGUGGUAGGUAGUGGGUGGGAUUUGGGAGAAGGGGUGUGGUAGGUAGUGGGUGGGAUUUGGGAGAAGGGGUGUGGUAGGUAGUGGUGGGAUUUGGGAGAAGGGGUGUGGUAGGUAGUGGUGGUUCACUGAUGUAAACCUCCAUUGUUUGUUCCUUCAUUAUCCAUCCAUUUAUUCAUUUUUUUUCAUUCCCUACAUUUUUUUUAUUCAGUCACGUGUUUUCAACUUGAGCAAAGUAGUGUUUGUUCCAUUUUUUAUGGGGGGGCACAUCCCACCAUGCAAGCUUCUCUUUAUAAAGACCCACCACUGUCUGGUACUGUGAGACGCCAUUGGCAGCAGCUCCCAGGUCACUAUGCACUCUGACCAAUCCGUGUGGAGUGGGGCCUGUGAAUCCUUUGAUAUACUUCCUGAUUUGAUAUACCUCUAUACUGGAAUUACAGCUUCUGUUUUACAUCUGGAAUUUCAGAACCUAUACAACUAUACUAUUUGUAGCUUUUUUACUGUCCGUCAAAAAAAUCUAUCUUCUGCUCAGUACCUCUCCUUUGUCGUUUUCUUUCACUUCUCUCUCUUUUCAUGAUCGGUCAUUCUCUCCCUCUUAUUUCUGUCUGUGGCUCAGAACAUGCAGCAUGUGUGUGUAAAGCUCCACCGAGGGUAGGCUCGAUCUCAGGCUCGAUAUCAACCUGUGCUGUGUGCAUGUACAUAAUGUAUAUUUCUUUUGUUGACUGUAUUAAAGAAGAACCAGAGAAUCCUCGCUGUCACGUUGUUUUUUUUGUCGCUGUAUACUGGUACAUUAAGAGUGUCUCUCUGUCUGUCUGUCUGUCUGUCUGUGUGUCUGUCUGUCUCGCAAUUUUAAUUUAAGGGGCUUUAUUGGCAUGGGAAACAUGAAAUAGAUAAUAAAAGUGAAAUCUCUCUCGGUCUCUGUCCUGUGAAGACAUCCUCCAUCACACUACUGUCAGAAAUAAAGAGGUGCUCUCUAAUCUCACGUGUUGGCUACAUGUUGUAAUUUAACUAAUUGUCUUUUUAUAAAAACAAAUUCCUGCUACAUCUGUCUGACUGGCACAGAUGACACCAGCUCAAUAAAACACAGCACAAAAAAACACUGAACUGAAAAAAGAAAUAAUCAAGUCAUGAUUUUUCCCUCCCGUUUCAUUGUAAUGAUGGAAAUAAGGGCAUCAUUCUGAGAUUAGUGCUUCUAUUUCUCCCUGCGUGACACUGGCUGUUAUACCCGCCUCUGCUACAGAGCCUGAGAGAACAAUGGAACAACAGGCAGGCUGUCGUCUCAGGGCCGUGGUGAAGGCAGACGAGGCAGAGACAUGCUCAGGUCUGACCCUAAACUGGAACUACAACCGUGAGUAACAUAACAUUUGCGUCAUUUAGAAGACGCUCUUAUCCAGAGCAACUUACAGAAGCAAUUAGGGUUAAGUGCCUUGCUCGAGGGCAAAUCUGCAGAUUUUUCAUGUUGUCGGCUCGGGGAUUCGAACCAGGAUAAUGUUGCACACACACGACCCUAACCCAAACCCAAGUCUACUGCAACACCUAACAAAUACACAUCGGCAUAACCGUCCUUAACUCCUGUGACUGAAGAGGAUGCCCCUAAUAACUCAGAACUUCAGUGUCAGCAACCAGAGCUGUUGCCUCGGGGAGCUCCUACAGAGACCUGACCCUGAACUUAAACUAACAUCCAAGCCUACAGAAUCCAAGCCUACAACAAGAGUGUGGGUACAGAGGAUGCCAUUCAUAACUCAGAAGGAAACACUUGUGUCCAGCUGUUAGCAGUCACCCAGUGCAGUAGACUUGACCACUUCAGUGUCCAGCUGUUAGCAGUCACCCAGUGCAGUAGACUUGACCACUUCAGUGUCCAGCUGUUAGCAGUCACCCAAUGCAGUAGACUUGACCACUUCAGUGUCCAGCUGUUAGCAGUCACCCAGUGCAGUAGACUUGACCACUUCAGUGUCCAGCUGUUAGCAGUCACCCAGUGCAGUAGACUUGACCACUUCAGUGUUAAAGGUUGAUUUGGACUCACCGGAGAGUCAUGGCUAAAUCCUACUAGGCCGAAGGAGUUGUACAUACAAACAUUUCACUCCAGUCCAGUAGAAUAUGACUGUCCUGGCCAGGGGCCAGUCUGUCUGUGGUCAGUCUAUACCAGUCCAGUCUACAUCCUGGUCUAGCAGCACUACUAAACCCCACCAAUCUGAUUCAUAUUUGGGUGUUUUAAUUCGUCUGUGUUUAUGAGUAGGCAGCUGAGUCGGCGGUUUCCUCAUUAAGAGGACAUGAAAGGGCUCUAUAAAGGAGCCUUGGUGAGACCGGCCCGCAUUCUGACGUCUGUAGGCUAGGGGACGACGUGACAGCGGGACCGGCCCAGACCGGCCUGCCACAGUCCCAGAUG
rnacentral:lncRNA from 1 species